rnacentral:misc_RNA from 1 species
ACGUUCUUGAUUCUCUGUUACCUCGACUCUACAUCACAUUUCUCACACUCUCUCCUUCCUGUGUGCGUGGAACUCUCCUCAUUUCUGACACGUCUUCGCUUGGUACCCUGAACGAGACACACAAACACGUCCGAACACAUCUGUCGACUUGUUCAUGUGCUCCUCUGCCUCUCUCACUCCCCGUAAUCACCAUCUCAUCGCCUUGUGUGUGUGUGCGUGCGUCGUCUAGCCGUUGCUGUCCGUUCGAAGGAGCACAAACGGGCAUUUUCGUGUAUCAUCACGGCUCGGUACCCGAACCCGACCACCAUCACCACCGCCACCGCCCCUGCCUUCUUCCGCCUCGCUGCGCAUGGGUGCGUGUCAGUGUUACCCGUAGCUCUCUCUCUCUCCACCUGCUUCUUCUUCAUCGGGCCUACGACGCAUUAUUAUUAUUAAGACGAGAGUGCGAAAAAGGAAAGCGUCACAUCGUCGGUACAUUGAUAUCCGGUGCAGCAUACCACAUCUAUAUAUAUAGAGAUACAUAAGAUACGUAGUAAUAUAUAUAUAUAUACUUACAAAAGAGUUUCAUUUGUAUUUUUUUUCUCUUUUCUACGUAUCCAUUCGGCGCAACGCCCCCCCCCACUCCUCCUCCUCCUCCUCCUCCUCCUCCUCCUCCUCCUCCUCCUCCCCCUCCUCCUCCCCCUCCUCCUCGCCCAAUCCUCUUUGCGCACGGCUUUUGCUGGAGCGUUUGUGCGUUUCGCGUGUGUGUGUGUGUGUCUUGGGGGAAGGGCUCUUGGUCUCCGUUGUUGCUGGUGUGUCUCUGCGUGCGUCCAUCCAUCCAUCCCCUCACCCUCACCCUCACCUUACCCCCUAUUCUGUUUGUUCGCUCUCCCAUCUAUCUCUUACAUUUUCCAUCUGGUUUCUUCCUUUUCCCCCUUCCGUCCCCCUCUCUCCCCUUUCUUACUCCCUUUCUCUGUGUGUGUGUGUGUGUGCGACGCGCGCACAUCUUAUCCUUUUUGUGUCAUUGUACUUUAUUACGUCUUUGUGCUGAUCUUAUCACCCCACUGUGUGCCGGCGGCGUCGUCCUCUCGCCUCGUCGUCCUGCUGCCGUUGCCGCUCACCUUCGGCUCUGCUGCGCUUUCUUUCACACGUCUGCAUGCGUGCGUUUGUUCCCGAACCUCCUGCUCGGUCGUUUCCCCUCAGAGAGGAAUAGACCCACACAUACAUCUAUAUAGAGGGAAAGGUUGAGAAGGCCACCACCUACCACCACCGUCCUCCUCGCCUUUCGAAGUGAUCGCUGUUUCGCUGGUACCCCCACCCCACCCCCUCCCUCGUCUUCUAUAAACGAAAGAAGGUGAAGACAGGGAAGCUUAUCGAAAUCAUAGGCAUGGCCCAGCAAGCUCGUCGUCUGAGCAUGGCCGCGCUGAUGGCCUUUGUCGUGUACGUCUUGCUCCUCGCCGGUGGCGUCACGCGUGCGGCUCUCACGGCAGCGCAAAACUCCAUCACCGCCGAGUUUCUGCGGUCCUUCGCGGUCUCGAUACCUGGCCUGGCGAGUGUGUGGACAGGGGAUGAUUGGUGCACUUGGCCGUACGUCAGCUGCAAUGCCGACACGAACAUCACAGUUAUCAUCGACAAUGCUGGGUUCACCGGCAGCCUUCCAGAACUGAAUGUGGCGGGCGACAGCGCCAAUAUCGCGGUCACUGAGAUUUCCUUGACGAACAUGGACAUCGGGGGCGGGUUCAAGAACAGCUGGGGCGGCCUCAAGAAGGUGCGGGUUCUCAACUUCACGAACACCAACCUGUUUGGUACCAUUCCCGCGAGCUGGAACGCGAUGCGCUCGCUGCAGACGGUCAUCCUGAAAAAUUCCAGCGCGUGCGGCAGCCUGCCGAGGUGGACGCUGACAUCGCUGAAGAACAUUGACGUGUCGAACAACCUGCUGCGCGGUUCGAUGCCGGACACGCUGGGCUACAUCGCCGGCCUGCAGAAUGUCAGCCUCGUGGGCAACAACUUCUGCGGCUGCAGCCCGCCGUCCUGGGUGUCCCGGGUACUCACCAGCGCACUCUUCCAGGCGAUGGGCUCAGCACCCUACAAGCCUAACUGCAGGGCCCCCAUCAACUGCGGCUCCGAAGGUGCCAAGUGCUCCCGCGACCCUCCACAGUACCGCGACGCCGCCGCCGCGCCAUUACGUGUGGUGGUGGCCGUGUUGACUCUGGUCCUAGCUCUCGUGUGCAACUUUUCCGUGUAGGCGAACGCACCGCGACAACGAUAGCGCCGGGCAUUUUCCUCCUUCCCUCCUCCCCUUCUUCCACAUCACCAACCCCCUUCGCCCGCACCCUCACCGCAAUGCUGCGUGCAGAAAGCCCUCGCCCUGUCUGGGGGAGGGGGGGAGGCACAUGGAUGAAGACGGAGAGAACAUUGCGAACAGAAAAAGUGCAGAUGGCUGAGAGUGCCAACUGGUAGGGCUCUCACACACACACACACACAUACCAAACAAAAGACAUUCCUACCUCCUUUUCCCUUUUUUCUAUUAUUAUUAUUUUAUCUCGCUUCCUUUGUUGUGGCCAUUCUCAUCCUCCUUCCUCCCACCACCACCACCUUCUUCGAUUGAGUGCGCAUCCGUUUCCGCGCGUGUUCCUCUAUGUCUCUCCUCCCCCUCUCUCAAUUCCUCGCGGACGUUUUUCUUUUCACCGCCCCCUCCUUGCUAUCGUUUAUUCCCCAUUGUUUAUGGUCUGUCUCUGUGUGUGUGCGUGUAGCUGUCCUUCCUAUCUUGUUGUUUGUUGCUAGCGCGGCUCUGGCUGUUCCUGCGCGCCUGUCCUUUUAUUGUGUGUGUGGGGGAGGGCGAGGGGCUGACAUCCUCUUGCUUGUGAUCAUUGUCCUUCGUACUCGUUUUGUUUUUCCUUUCUUCAGUCUUGUGUGUGUGUGUGUGUGUGGCUGUGUGCUCUGUCCUUUUUUCUUUCGGUAGAGGGGCGGCGUACGGCGAGCGUGAGCUUGCGGUGCGCUGAAGAGGGUGCAGGGGUGCGAUCCGAGCCCCCUGUCGCUGACGCGCGCUGGGUGGUCCAUGCGUACACGCACUCUCCACUCACGCAUACCUACACACUGAUGAGCGCAGCGACUAGCAACGCACACAUAUACCGAGAGAGAGAGAGAUAAGGACGCCUACACACGCACCUUCGCCUUGUUUCCCCGGCGUCUUCUAACGGCCGACACCCCCUAACGCCCAAACAAUCGUAAAUACAUCCUUGUGCAGCACUGUGGAGGGCAUAACGAUGACGAUGUAGGUGUGUCGUCCGCGCGUAUCUCUGUGUGCCGCCCCCUAUGCCGGCAUUAUGUGUCGUCGUCGUCUUGUUACUUCUUCCUUCCGCUUCUUUCCCGACUCCUCCUCCUCUUGGUCCUUCCCCCCCCAUCCCUCCUUUUUCCUUCAUGUCUACCUGUAACACAGACACGUGCGCUGAACCGCGUCCCCUGCCCCACCCACUCGCCCGCGCAUGUUCACGCAUAGGGAAGCUGCGGUGUGGAUGAGCCGUAGAAUUCAG